rnacentral:sRNA from 1 species
AAAAAAGCAAAAAAAAAG